rnacentral:rRNA from 1 species
GAUGAACGCUGGCGGCGUGCUUAACACAUGCAAGUCGAGCGGAUUGAAGACUUCGGUCUGAUAUUAGCGGCGGACGGGUGAGUAACGCGUGGGUGACCUGCCUUAUACAGGGGGAUAACAGUGAGAAAUCACUGCUAAUACCGCAUAAGACCACACUAUCACAUGGUAGAGAGGUAAAAGGAGCAAUCCGGUAUGAGAUGGGCCCGCGUCUGAUUAGCUAGUUGGAGAGGUAACGGCCCACCAAGGCGACGAUGCGUAGCCGACCUGAGAGGGUGAUCGGCCACAUUGGAACUGAGACACGGUCCAGACUCCUACGGGAGGCAG